rnacentral:ncRNA from 2 species
UUAAUUGUCUCGCUCCGAAGCUGGAUCCCCUAAAGCCCAUGGCUAUGGUGACCAGACUGGUGUCUUAAAGACACUCGGGUAUUAUGGGAAACUGUAAUAUCUCCUGCUGGAAAGGAGUCUGUCAAACAGGUGG